UACGUAGGGUGCAAGCGUUGUCCGGAAUUAUUGGGCGUAAAGAGCUCGUAGGCGGUUUGUUGCGUCGGCUGUGAAAUCCCGAGGCUCAACCUCGGGUCUGCAGUCGAUACGAGCAAACUAGAGUGUUGCAGGGGAGACUGGAAUUCCUGGUGUAGCGGUGAAAUGCGCAGAUAUCAGGAGGAACACCGGUGGCGAAGGCGGGUCUCUGGGCGAACAA
rnacentral:rRNA from 1 species